CUUGUAGCUCAGCUGGAUAGAGCAAUGGCCUUCUAAGCCGUGGGUCCGGGGUUCGAAUCCCUGCAG
rnacentral:tRNA from 1 species